rnacentral:rRNA from 1 species
CGGGAGCUUGCUCCUUGAUUCAGCGGCGGACGGGUGAGUAAUGCCUAGGAAUCUGCCUGGUAGUGGGGGACAACGUUUCGAAAGGAACGCUAAUACCGCAUACGUCCUACGGGAGAAAGCAGGGGACCUUCGGGCCUUGCGCUAUCAGAUGAGCCUAGGUCGGAUUAGCUUGUUGGUGAGGUAAUGGCUCACCAAGGCGACGAUCCGUAACUGGUCUGAGAGGAUGAUCAGUCACACUGGAACUGAGACACGGUCCAGACUCCUACGGGAGGCAGCAGUGGGGAAUAUUGGACAAUGGGCGAAAGCCUGAUCCAGCCAUGCCGCGUGUGUGAAGAAGGUCUUCGGAUUGUAAAGCACUUUAAGUUGGGAGGAAGGGCAGUAAGUUAAUACCUUGCUGUUUUGACGUUACCGACAGAAUAAGCACCGGCUAACUCUGUGCCAGCAGCCGCGGUAAUACAGAGGGUGCAAGCGUUAAUCGGAAUUACUGGGCGUAAAGCGCGCGUAGGUGGUUUGUUAAGUUGGAUGUGAAAGCCCCGGGCUCAACCUGGGAACUGCAUCCAAAACUGGCAAGCUAGAGUACGGUAGAGGGUGGUGGAAUUU